rnacentral:rRNA from 1 species
UUUUGGACAAUGGGCGCAAGCCUGAACCAGCAAUGCCGCGUGCAGGAUGAAGGCAUACGGGAUGUAAAAAGCAUUUGUACGGAACGAAAAGCCCUGGGUAAAUAGCCUGGGGUAAUGACUGUACCGUAAGAAUAAGCAACGGCUAACUACGUGCAAGCAGCCGCGGUAAUACGUAGGGUGCGGGCGUUAAUCGGAAUUACUGGGCGUAAAGCGUGCGCAGGCGGUUUUGUAAGACAGAGGUGAAAUCCCCGGGCUCAACCUGGGAACUGCCUUUGUGACUGCAAGGCUAGAGUACGGCAGAGGGGGAUGGAAUUCCGCGUGUAGCAGUGAAAUGCGUAGAUAUGCGGAGGAACACCGAUGGCGAAGGCAAUCCCCUGGGCCUGUACUGACGCUCAUGCACGAAAGCGUGGGGAGCAAACAGG